AUUUGUAAUGUUUUGGGUUUUUUUUUUGUUGUACCUCUUGGGCUGCCGUAAUUAAUGAGGGCGGGCCCUUUAAAAGCUGGUAGUAUCUCAUGCCAAUCAACGACUUGAACUGUCAAGCUGAGUAGCAUGCAGAAAUCAAGUGUUCCCCAGUGAAAGCAGCGAGUUUUCACGGUGACUGUGGUGACUGUGGUGACUGUGGUGACGAAUCACCCGAAGAAAAAAUAAAUAAAAACGCUAAAUUCACCCGUCGAGACUGGCUGGAUAAAUUCAACUGCUGGGGAGCUGCUACAGUGAAAACUCGAGGCUUCCGUGUGUCGCCUUCCUUUUGACGGUGAGACGUUUGGAUCGGACAUCGGCCGAGGUUUGGCGCUGCGUCGGAGUCAACGCCACCAUGAGGAGCUGUCUUCGUGGAGGAUCCAAGUUAGCAUCAGAAACUGAAUCUGACAGAUGACCAAUGGCGCGGUGAGAAAUUGACUGAUCAAACAACGCGGAAAUAACUUGGACAUGACGUCACCUGAAUAUGUAUGAAAUUAAAUGAGCUCAAGGACUAUGUUUGGUCAAAUUAUAUGCCAAAUUACUUAUAAGGUAUGUAAUUAAAAAAAAAAAAAAAAAAAAAAAAGGGAAAAAAUUAGAAUGGUGUUUUGUAACUAAAUGUUAAGUUUUGUGGGUUUAAUUUCACUGUAAGGUUUUAGAGUUAAGAUGUCACUGCCACGUGAAAAAGGACUUUCUGCUGAAGAUGUGUGCACUGAAGAAAAGCCAAAAGGACAAGAGUUGGUUUCAGGUCCUCGCACAAGAAAGUUAACUGAAAAGGGAGAGCAGUACAGAGAAGCAGAGUCUACAAAACAGAUAAAAGCAUUUCUUAAAUCUUAUGCAUCCUGGAAACAAAUCGCCAGAGAAGCCAGGAAGAAAUUAAAGGGUUUUUGCUCUCAGGAAAAUCUGGA